UACAGAGGCCUCGAGCGUUAGGCGGAAUCACUGGGCUUAAAGCGUGUGUAGGUGGAUGCCUAAGUACCUUGUGAGAUCCCAUGGCUUAACCAUGGAAUUGCUCGGUAUACUGGGUGUCUUGAGCCACUCAGGGGCUACCGGAACAAGCGGUGGAGCGGUGAAAUGCGUAGAUAUCGCUUGGAACGCCAAAGGUGAAAACAGGUAGCUGGGGGUGUGCUGACACUGAGACACGAAAGCCAGGGGAGCAAACGGG
rnacentral:rRNA from 1 species